rnacentral:lncRNA from 1 species
GCAGGUCUGGGCACCGUAACAAUUUUGCGCUUUGCUUCCCCAGGGCUGACGCGCCACUAUGUAGCGGGUUUCGGGCGGGCCACGCGUGCGGGACAGGAACCCAACCCCAGCCGACCUUGAGCUCCAGGAGUUCGUCUCUUACGUCUGCGGAAGUGCAGCUGCCUCAGUUCUUAGCGCAGGUUGACAACUACAGGCACAAGCCAUUGAAGCUGGAAUGUCCUGUUGCUGGUAUUUCAAUUGACUUAAGCCAACUAUCCCUUCAGUUACAAUAGGAAAGUGCCUCUAAUAAGGCCAAAUAUGCGUACUAACUUGUAGCAACCACGUGUCCGUGCAGUGCCACAGGAGCUAGAGCAGUGACAAUGCUGGUGGCAACAGGGCAGUGUAGCAGGUGCUUCAUGUUCACCUUUUCAACCUUUUCAUUUAAUUGUCACAACUCGGAGGUGGAUUCUGUUAGGGACAGGCUGCCCCAGGACCACUCCGCCCCCGCUAACUCAAUGCAGCUGACCCUUACCCUGAAUACUCUGCAGCUGCAUUCCUGAACCGUUAUCUAGGCGCUAUAGCAAGGUCACCAGACUUGCUACACCGAAGCCCUCUGGGUGGCACGGGGGAGGUCAUGAGAAACGUGGAUUACACCCCCUUGUAAAUUCCUAUUUUCACAAGAUAAUAUAUUGUAAGCCGGUCAUGAGAUUAUAUGUGGUAAAGUUAAUUGACUAACAACCCCAGGGUCUCUCUCCCCCAUAUAAACCCCUCAUUUUGUAAGCUCAGGGCUGCCACCUCCGACUGGUGGAGAAGCCUGGCAGGUUAAUAAACUUACUUGGCCUGA